AAUCCAUAGGUUAAUGAGGCGAACCGGGGGAACUGAAACAUCUAAGUACCCCGAGGAAAAGAAAUCAACCGAGAUUCCCCCAGUAGCGGCGAGCGAACGGGGAGGAGCCCAGAGCCUGAAUCAGCAUGUGUGUUAGUGGAAGCGUCUGGAAAGGCGCGCGAUACAGGGUGACAGCCCCGUACACAAAAGCGCAUGUGCUGUGAGCUCGAUGAGUAGGGCGGGACACGUGGUAUCCUGUCUGAAUAUGGGGGGACCAUCCUCCAAGGCUAAAUACUCCUGACUGACCGAUAGUGAACCAGUACCGUGAGGGAAAGGCGAAAAGAACCCCGGCGAGGGGAGUGAAAAAGAACCUGAAACCGUGUACGUACAAGCAGUGGGAGCACCCUUUGGGUGUGACUGCGUACCUUUUGUAUAAUGGGUCAGCGACUUAUAUUCUGUAGCAAGGUUAACC
rnacentral:rRNA from 3 species